GGUUGGGGGACUUGAAGAUGAAGACCUGGGAAAAAGAAAUACGCUAGAGAGCAAUGGCAAGAAAUUCAGAAAAUUUGAACGCGUAAAAGUACAAAUGAGAGGAUUUCGGUAUUUAUAGGACGAUGGAGGGAAGGGCAAUCGUUCGAAAUUUGAAAUCCAGUUGAGAAGACUGAGGGUUUCGUGUUUCGGGGGACGCACGAUUGCGUGUGGCGGUGAGAUUUAUGGUGAAAGACGGUUCGACGUCUGCACGAUGCUGAAUGGUUCGCAGAUUGAGGUGGCAUGGUGGUGUUCAGCAACAAGACCAUGAUGAUAUGACGGUUCAGGGAGCUACAUGCUUCAAACGUCAUUAUUAGGGAUUAGCCCUAUAGAAGAAUGCCACGUGGAAUGGUGGUUAGCAGAAUCAAGAUCGUGUAAUCGUGUUCAAUAAAUGCACCUCGGAAUGAGAGCAUUUGAGUUUUGAGCUUUAAUUUCGCUUCUUCAAGGCCGGAGCUCGGCCAGAGGGUUCAGGCCGAAGGCCUCAGAAGCGAGGGGGCAAUGUUUAGGCCCAAAAUAAUAGUUUGGGCCGAGUAUAGAAUCAUUAUCGGCCCGGAAGGCCUUGCGACAAGGGUGCUAUGAAUCGUUCAGUACGUGGGCCUCCAAACCUAGGUCGGCUAGGUCAUGACGUAGGACAAGUCGAAUCCUGGUGCAAUAAAGAGUUUCGGCAGGAUUAAUAACCCGAAAGCGAAUCCGGAUCAAUAAAGGACUAGGUUCACAGUCAUAAUGAAAGUAAGAUUGGUCGAGUCAGUGUUUGACCAGGAGAAAAAGUCCUAGUCCGAAUAGGGUUUUAACUCGACCUUGGGGGAUCCGUUGCUAUAAAUAGAAGAGGCUGUGCAUCAUUUAAGCUCUCCAAUUCAACACACAAAACUGCCCUGCGCAAACUCUCUCAACAACUUUGAGAUUUUUUAUU
rnacentral:lncRNA from 1 species